UGGAUCCAGACUUUGAUCCUGGCUCAGGAUGAACGCUAGCUACAGGCUUAACACAUGCAAGUCGAGGGGAAACGACAUCGAAAGCUUGCUUUUGAUGGGCGUCGACCGGCGCACGGGUGAGUAACGCGUAUCCAACCUGCCCACCACUUGGGAAUAACCUUGCGAAAGUAAGACUAAUACCCAAUGACGUCUCUAGAAGACAUCUGAAAGAGAUUAAAGAUUUAUCGGUGAUGGAUGGGGAUGCGUCUGAUUAGCUUGUUGGCGGGGUAACGGCCCACCAAGGCUACGAUCAGUAGGGGUUCUGAGAGGAAGGUCCCCCACAUUGGAACUGAGACACGGUCCAAACUCCUACGGGAGGCAGCAGUGAGGAAUAUUGGUCAAUGGACGAGAGUCUGAACCAGCCAAGUAGCGUGCAGGAUGACGGCCCUAUGGGUUGUAAACUGCUUUUAUAAGGGAAUAAAGUGAGUCUCGUGAGACUUUUUGCAUGUACCUUAUGAAUAAGGACCGGCUAAUUCCGUGCCAGCAGCCGCGGUAAUACGGAAGGUCCGGGCGUUAUCCGGAUUUAUUGGGUUUAAAGGGAGCGUAGGCCGGAGAUUAAGCGUGUUGUGAAAUGUAGAUGCUCAACAUCUGCACUGCAGCGCGAACUGGUUUCCUUGAGUACGCACAAAGUGGGCGGAAUUCGUGGUGUAGCGGUGAAAUGCUUAGAUAUCACGAAGAACUCCGAUUGCGAAGGCAGCUCACUGGAGCGCAACUGACGCUGAAGCUCGAAAGUGCGGGUAUCGAACAGGAUUAGAUACCCUGGUAGUCCGCACGGUAAACGAUGGAUGCCCGCUGUUGGUCUGAAUAGGUCAGCGGCCAAGCGAAAGCAUUAAGCAUCCCACCUGGGGAGUACGCCGGCAACGGUGCAACUCAAAUGAAUUGACGGA
rnacentral:rRNA from 1 species